rnacentral:lncRNA from 1 species
GAAUAUGCAGAUGAGGCCUGAUGUGAUUACACUGUACAAUUACUCCUAUCCAUGGUGGUGUCAGGGGCUGCUAGGGAGACAGAGAGUCAGACAGCCUCCAAGCCAAUACAGAGUUUUGUUUUCGGUAUUUUUCCUAUCUCCUUGGCACUGCGGCACAUGCAGAUGUCGCUGUUGUUCUUUAUAAAGCCCUAAUGUAUGCAAAAGCAUAACGAUUUGGUUUGGACGCAAAGCAUCAACGAAAUAUUAUGGAUGUCUUCAAGAAAGGGGGAGAGAAAAUCCUGACUGAAGGAAUGUCCACAUAAAUUAUUUUUAUUUAAAUGAAUUCAAAGGAUGGGAUGAGGGCAAGUCAGACGGAGUCGCGUGGAAAACAUGAAUAAUAUUAAUAUGCAUAAAGAAUUCUCACCAACGAGGAGAAGCUCCUCACUACAGCUCUUGGGACAAACAGGUUCAUUAGGAAACAGCUCAGAGCGACUACAGCAUUUUGCUAUUUCAAUUUUUUCCCUUAUUUUAAAUGAAGAGUCAGACAGAUGUGUUUUCUUUGCAUGGCAGCAUUGAGAUGGAUCCAAUCUGCGAAAUUUGCUGCCCAAAUAGCAUUUCUAAUGGAAACUGGAACUAAACAAGGGCACGGAUAUGGGAGGGAGGGGAGAAGAGAGAAUACACGAAGAAGAGUAUAUUCAGAGCCACUGCAUGGCAUUUUGAGUACAGGAGGUUUUCAGGAACGAUCUUUGCUUCAUUAGUCUCCCCUGUGGGCUCCUGAUGUAGGGAGCUAUCAGGGUAUACCAAGAUGAGCACUGAGACAGGCCUUUCUAGGUCUGAGGCUGAGGAAAGCAGCGGCAACUUGGUGCCUGUCCCCCAGAGCUGUCUACAGUUCAGAAGCCAAAAGCACAGCUACUUCUAAUUUGGGGAUGCAGUAGAGUGCCUACUGAUCCAGGUAUUUGUGAAAGAUGGAAUUCUUGGUGCUAUCAUAGUAUACAUUGCUAAAGAGCAGAUGAAAUCGGCUGCUUAAGGAGGCCUGAUAAUAUUUAUGUUGGUUAAUUC